rnacentral:rRNA from 1 species
GUGCCAGCAGCCGCGGUAAUACGGAGGGUCCGAGCGUUAAUCGGAAUUACUGGGCGUAAAGCGUGCGCAGGCGGUUUGUUAAGCCAGAUGUGAAAUCCCCGGGCUCAACCUGGGAAUUGCAUUUGGAACUGGCGAACUAGAGUCUUGUAGAGGGGGGUAGAAUUCCAGGUGUAGCGGUGAAAUGCGUAGAGAUCUGGAGGAAUACCGGUGGCGAAGGCGGCCCCCUGGACAAAGACUGACGCUCAGGUGCGAAAGCGUGGGGAGCAAACAGGAUUAGAUACCCCAGUAGUCC